ACACUUACUGGGCAGUGGAGGGACCGUGAUGGAGUAGGUAGCCUUCCCAAGGUGAGGCCCAUUCAUUGCACUUGAGAUGGGCUGACCCCUAGAUUUUCCCACUAUCACAUAAUAUGUGAUAAUGGGGAACUUCACUGAUGCUCUCCCCUU
rnacentral:snRNA from 11 species